AACUUCUGAAUGUUGACCUCGGAUCAGGUAGGAAUACCCGCUGAACUUAAGCAUAUCAAUAAGCGGAGGAAAAGAAACCAACGGGGAUUGCCCUAGUAACGGCGAGUGAAGCGGCAACAGCUCAAAUUUGAAAUCUGGCUUUCGGGCCCGAGUUGUAAUUUGUAGAGGAUGAUUUUGAUGCGGUGCCUUCCGAGUUCCCUGGAACGGGACGCCAUAGAGGGUGAGAGCCCCGUCUGGUUGGAUGCCAAAUCUCUGUAAAUCUCCUUCGACGAGUCGAGUAGUUUGGGAAUGCUGCUCUAAAUGGGAGGUAUAUGUCUUCUAAAGCUAAAUACCGGCCAGAGACCGAUAGCGCACAAGUAGAGUGAUCGAAAGAUGAAAAGCACUUUGAAAAGAGAGUUAAAAAGUACGUGAAAUUGUUGAAAGGGAAGCGUUUAUGACCAGACUUGGGCUUGGUUAAUCAUCUGGGGUUCUCUCCAGUGCACUUUUCCAGUCCAGGCCAGCAUCAGUUUUCGCCGGGGGAUAAAGGCUUCGGGAAUGUGGCUCCCCUCGGGGAGUGUUAUAGCCCGUUGUGUAAUACCCUGGUGGGGACUGAGGUUCGCGCUUCUGCAAGGAUGCUGGCGUAAUGGUCAUCAACGACCCGUCU
rnacentral:rRNA from 1 species